rnacentral:rRNA from 1 species
AUGGCUUUUUUUGCUGCAACUAUCUUUGAUUUUUGCUACUGUUGGAGAUGCCAUUUGCUACUACCAGAGUCUUGUUGGAAGCAUCAGGAUUUUUUGCUGUCACCCUUGUUUUUGUUUUGUUUUUGCUGGAACCAGCCUAAAAAAUGCUACCACCGUCUUUCGAUUAUGCUGGAACCGGCAUUUUUUUCUGCUUCAACCAUGGAUGAUGCACCAGAGUGCUGCAACCAUGGACAGCAACAGAGGCGAGGUACACUGCAAGCUUGCCGACCGGUGUUUGCGGCCGGCGACUGUUGGCCAUCGGAGUUGCGACCGCCUCCACCAGAGCUGCAAUCACGCGUGUACGGAGCUGCAUUCGUGUAG